rnacentral:rRNA from 1 species
CCUACGGGCGGCAGCAGUGGGGAAUAUUGCGCAAUGGGGGAAACCCUGACGCAGCAACGCCGCGUGAAGGAAGAAGGCCUUCGGGUUGUAAACUUCUUUGAUCGGGGACGAAAAUGACGGUACCCGAGGAACAAGCCACGGCUAACUACGUGCCAGCAGCCGCGGUAAUACGUAGGUGGCAAGCGUUGUCCGGAAUUACUGGGCGUAAAGGGCGUGUAGGCGGGAUGGCAAGUCAGAUGUGAAAGCCCGGGGCUUAACUCCGGAACUGCAUCUGAAACUGCUGUUCUUGAGUGCUGGAGAGGAAAGUGGAAUUCCCAGUGUAGCGGUGAAAUGCGUAGAGAUUGGGAGGAACACCAGUGGCGAAGGCGGCUUUCUGGACAGUAACUGACGCUGAGGCGCGAAAGCGUGGGGAGCAAACAGGCUUAGAUACCCCGGUAGUC